rnacentral:rRNA from 1 species
GAUGAACGCUAGCUACAGGCUUAACACAUGCAAGUCGCGGGGCAGCAUGGGGGUUGCUUGCACCCCCUGAUGGCGACCGGCGCACGGGUGAGUAACGCGUAUCCAACCUGCCCUUCACCACGGGAUAACCCGGCGAAAGUCGGACUAAUACCGUAUGUUGUCCAUUGACGGCAUCCGAUUUGGACGAAGGGCUUGGCGGUGAAAGGAUGGGGCUGCGUCCGAUUAGCUUGACGGCGGGGUAACGGCCCACCGUGGCUACGAUCGGUAGGGGUUCUGAGAGGAAGGUCCCCCACACUGGAACUGAGACACGGUCCAGACUCCUACGGGAGGUAGCAGUGAGGAAUAUUGGUCAAUGGGCGUAAGCCUGAACCAGCCAAGUAGCGUGCAGGAUGACGGCACUAUGGGUUGUAAACUGCCUUUAUGCGGGGAUAAAGUGGCCCACGUGUGGGCUUUUGCAGGUACCGCAUGAAUAAGGACCGGCUAAUUCCGUG